rnacentral:rRNA from 1 species
CCGAGAAUAUUCGACAAUGGGCGAAAGCCUGAUCGAGCGACACCGCGUGAUGGAUGAAGUCCCUCUGGGACGUAAACAUCUUUUAUGAGGGAGAAAGUUUAUUGAUAGUACCUCACGAAUAAGGGGUUGCUAAACUCGUGCCAGCAGCAGCGGUAAUACGAGUGCCCCGAGCGUUAUCCGGAAUCAUUGGGCGUAAAGGGUGUGUAGGUGGCAGUGUUAGUCGGUUGUUAAGACCUGGGGCUCAACCCCAGAUCCGCGAUCGAAACGGCACAGCUAGAGGAUGGCAGGGAUGUAUGGAACUCAUGGAGUAGGGGUGAAAUCCGUUGAUAUCAUGGGGAACACCAAAAGCGAAGGCAGUACAUUGGGCCACUCCUGACACUGAAACACGAAAGCGUGGGUAGCGAAAUGGGAUUAGAUACCCACGUAGUCCCUGAGCGGGCUGGCAAGGCGCAU